AUUGAACGCUGGCGGCAUGCUUUACACAUGCAAGUCGAACGGUAACAGGUUAAGCUGACGAGUGGCGAACGGGUGAGUAAUGCAUCGGAACGUGCCCGAUCGUGGGGGAUAACGCAGCGAAAGCUGCGCUAAUACCGCAUACGAUCUGAGGAUGAAAGCGGGGGACCGUAUGGCCUCGCGCGAUCGGACCGGCCGAUGUCCGAUUAGGUAGUUGGUGGGGUAAAGGCCCACCAAGCCGACGAUCUGUAGCUGGUCUGAGAGGACGACCAGCCACACUGGGACUGAGACACGGCCCAGACUCCUACGGGAGGCAGCAGUGGGGAAUUUUGGACAAUGGGCGAAAGCCUGAUCCAGCAAUGCCGCGUGCAGGAAGAAGGCCUUCGGGUUGUAAACUGCUUUUGUACGGAGCGAAAAGGUCCUUUCUAAUACAAGGGGCUCAUGACGGUACCGUAAGAAUAAGCACCGGCUAACUACGUGCCAGCAGCCGCCGUAA
rnacentral:rRNA from 1 species